ACUCAAAUGAAUUGACGGGGGCCCGCACAAGCGGUGGAUCAUGUGGUUUAAUUCGAAGCAACGCGAAGAACCUUACCUGGGUUUGACAUCCUCUGACAUCACUAGAGAUAGUGCUUUUGUAGCAAUACAACAGAGAGACAGGUGCUGCAUGGCUGUCGUCAGCUCGUGUGGUGACAUGUUGGGUUAAGUCCCGCAACGAGCGCAACCCCUGUCCUUAGUUGCCAUCAUUAAGUUGGGCACUCUAAGGAGACUGCCGUGGUUAACACGGAGGAAGGUGGGGAUGACGUCAAGUCCUCAUGGCCCUUACAUCCAGGGCGACACACGUGAUACAAUGGACAGCACAAAGAGACGCAAGGGGGAGACCCGGAGCUAAUCUCAAAAAGCUGUUCUCAGUUCGGAUUGAAGUCUGCAACUCGACUUCAUGAAGGUGGAAUCGCUAGUAAUCGCGGAUCAGCAUUGCCGCGGUGAAUACGUUCCCGGGCCUUGUACACACCGCCCGU
rnacentral:rRNA from 1 species